AUAGCUCCUCGGCCUUUUAGCGAAGAUCAAGUAUAGUAUCUGUUCUUAUCAGUUUAAUAUCUGAUAUGUCCUCUAUUCGAGGACAAUAUAUUAAAUGGAUUUUGGAAUUAGGAGAUGGAAUAGGAGCUUAUAUACUCCGUCCACUCCACCGUCGACCGGGUAUUGCAGUACUUCCAGUAACGGUGCACCCCCU
ensembl:snRNA U2 U2 spliceosomal RNA